AACGUAGGACGCAAGCGUUAUCCGGAGUUACUGGGCGUAAAGCGUGCGCAGGCGGCCAUCCAAGUCAGUGGUGAAAGCCCGGAGCUCAACUCCGGAAUUGCCAUUGAAACUGUUUGGCUCGAGUACGAGAGAGGUGAGUGGAAUUCCCAGUGUAGAGGUGAAAUUCGUAGAUAUUGGGAAGAACACCGGUGGCGAAGGCGGCUCACUGGCUCGUAACUGACGCUCAUGCACGACAGCGUGGGGAUCAAACAGG
rnacentral:rRNA from 1 species